rnacentral:tRNA from 1 species
GCGCCCUUAGCUCAGCUGGAUAGAGCGUCUGACUACGAAUCAGAAGGCCGGGAGUUCGAAUCUCUCAGGGCGCACCA